ACGAACGCUGGCGGCGUGCUUAACACAUGCAAGUCGAACGGAAAGGCCCUGCUUUUGUGGGGUACUCGAGUGGCGAACGGGUGAGUAACACGUGAGUAACCUGCCCCUGACUUUGGGAUAACUUCAGGAAACUGGGGCUAAUACCGGAUAGGAGCUCCUGCUGCAUGGUGGGGGUUGGAAAGUUUCGGCGGUUGGGGAUGGACUCGCGGCUUAUCAGCUUGUUGGUGGGGUAGUGGCUUACCAAGGCUUUGACGGGUAGCCGGCCUGAGAGGGUGACCGGCCACAUUGGGACUGAGAUACGGCCCAGACUCCUACGGGAGGCAGCAGUGGGGAAUAUUGCACAAUGGGCGGAAGCCUGAUGCAGCAACGCCGCGUGCGGGAUGACGGCCUUCGGGUUGUAAACCGCUUUCGCCUGUGACGAAGCGUGAGUGACGGUAAUGGGUAAAGAAGCACCGGCUAACUACGUG
rnacentral:rRNA from 1 species